rnacentral:sRNA from 1 species
AUGCGUGCAGCAAAGAAUGGAGGAGUCGGAACCCGAACGGAAGCGGGCUCGCACCGACGAGGUGCCUGCCGGAGGAAGCCGCUCCGAGGCGGAAGAUGAGGACGACGAGGACUACGUGCCCUAUGUGCCGUUACGGCAGCGCCGGCAGCUACUGGUGAGGGGCACGCGUACGGGGAGGGAUGGGGCCGUGACCGCCGGGUCGCAGGGGGCGGGCGUGGCCUCGGCCUCCGUGGGGAGGAGGGCAGUCUGAGGAGUGAGCUUCAGUACACCAGGGCGCGGCCCCCAGACAAACGAGGUACCGACGGCUUGAUCUGAGGGGUAGGGCAGCUCUGCGCCUCGGGCACAGGACCCUCGCCCCAAAGCCAGGAUCCUGACGCUGACCUUGUGGACUCCGUGCCCAUUCUAUCUGUGGGUCCCGGGUGGAACCUCAGCUCCAGAAGCUGCUGCAGCGAAGACGCAAGGGAGCUGCGGAGGAAGAGCAGCAGGACAGCGGUAGUGAACCCCGGGGAGAUGAGGACGACAUCCCGCUAGGCCCUCAGUCCAACGUCAGCCUCCUGGAUCAGCACCAGCACCUUAAAGAGAAGGCUGAAGCCCGCAAAGAGUCUGCCAAGGAGAAGCAGCUGAAGGAAGAAGAGAAGAUCCUGGAGAGUGUUGCCGAGGGCCGAGCAUUGAUGUCGGUGAAGGAGAUGGCUAAGGGCAUUACGUAUGAUGACCCCAUCAAAACCAGCUGGACUCCACCCCGUUAUGUCCUGAGCAUGUCUGAAGAGCGACAUGAGCGCGUGCGGAAGAAAUACCACAUCCUGGUGGAGGGAGACGGUAUCCCACCACCCAUCAAGAGCUUCAAGGAAAUGAAGUUUCCUGCAGCCAUCCUGAGAGGCCUGAAGAAGAAAGGCAUUCACCACCCAACACCCAUCCAGAUCCAGGGCAUCCCCACCAUUCUAUCUGGCCGUGACAUGAUAGGCAUCGCUUUCACGGGUUCAGGCAAGACACUGGUGUUCACGUUGCCCGUCAUCAUGUUCUGCCUGGAACAAGAGAAGAGGUUACCCUUCUCAAAGCGCGAGGGGCCCUAUGGACUCAUCAUCUGCCCCUCGGUAAGAUAGGCUGGCCUGGAGGGCAGGCCAGAGAUUGGGGCUGCCAUCUGGUGCCAGCCUUUGUCCCUCUGCCUGCAGCGGGAGCUGGCCCGGCAGACCCAUGGCAUCCUGGAGUACUACUGCCGCCUGCUGCAGGAGGACAGCUCACCACUCCUGCGCUGCGCCCUCUGCAUUGGGGGCAUGUCCGUGAAAGAGCAGAUGGAGACCAUCCGACACGGUGUACACAUGAUGGUGGCCACCCCGGGGCGCCUCAUGGAUUUGCUGCAGAAGAAGAUGGUCAGCCUAGAUAUCUGUCGCUACCUGGCCCUGGACGAGGCUGACCGCAUGAUCGACAUGGGCUUCGAGGGUGACAUCCGUACCAUCUUCUCCUACUUCAAGGGCCAGCGACAGACCCUGCUCUUCAGUGCCACCAUGCCGAAGAAGAUUCAGAACUUUGCUAAGAGUGCCCUUGUAAAGCCUGUCACCAUCAAUGUGGGGCGCGCUGGGGCUGCCAGCCUGGAUGUCAUCCAGGAAGUAGAAUAUGUGAAGGAGGAGGCCAAGAUGGUGUACCUGCUCGAGUGCCUGCAGAAGACACCCCCGCCUGUACUCAUCUUUGCAGAGAAGAAGGCAGACGUGGACGCCAUCCACGAGUACCUGCUGCUCAAGGGGGUUGAGGCCGUAGCCAUCCAUGGGGGCAAAGACCAGGAGGAACGGACUAAGGCCAUCGAGGCAUUCCGGGAGGGCAAGAAAGAUGUCCUAGUAGCCACAGACGUUGCCUCCAAGGGCCUGGACUUCCCUGCCAUCCAGCACGUCAUCAAUUAUGACAUGCCAGAGGAGAUUGAGAACUAUGUACACCGGAUUGGCCGCACCGGGCGCUCAGGAAACACAGGCAUCGCCACUACCUUCAUCAACAAAGCCUGUGAUGAGUCAGUGCUGAUGGACCUCAAAGCGCUGCUGCUAGAAGCCAAGCAGAAGGUGCCGCCCGUGCUGCAGGUGCUGCAUUGCGGGGACGAGUCCAUGCUGGACAUUGGAGGAGAGCGCGGCUGUGCCUUCUGCGGGGGCCUGGGUCAUCGGAUCACUGACUGCCCCAAACUCGAGGCUAUGCAGACCAAGCAGGUCAGCAACAUCGGUCGCAAGGACUACCUGGCCCACAGCUCCAUGGACUUCUGAGCCGACAGUCUUCCCUUCUCUCCAAGAGGCCUCAGUCCCCAAGACUGCCACCACUCUACACAUACAGCAGGCCCCUGGACAGAAUCAGCAUUCCAGCUCAGCUGGCCUGGAAUGGGCCAGGCUGGUCCUGGCUGCCUGUUCCCUGUGCUCUUCAGAAUUACUGUUUUUGUUUCCUUUCACCCCAGCUGCCAUUAAAGCACAAACCUCUAGCCC